CCACCAGACUCCUACGGGAGGCAGCAGUAGGGAAUCUUUCACAAUGGGCGAAAGCCUGAUGGAGCAACGCCGCGUGCAGGAUGAAGGCCUUCGGGUUGUAAACUUCUUUUCUCAGGGACGAAGCAAGUGACGGUACCUGAGGAAUAAGCCACGGCUAACUACGUGCCAGCAGCCGCGGUAAUACGUAGGUGGCAAGCGUUAUCCGGAUUUACUGGGUGUAAAGGGCGUGUAGGCGGGAAAGCAAGUCAGAUGUGAAAACCAUGGGCUCAACCUGUGGCCUGCAUUUGAAACUGUUUUUCUUGAGUACUGGAGAGGCAGACGGAAUUCCUAGUGUAGCGGUGAAAUGCGUAGAUAUUAGGAGGAACACCAGUGGCGAAGGCGGUCUGCUGGACAGCAACUGACGCUGAGGCGCGAAAGCGUGGGGAGCAAACAGGAUUAGAUACCCCUGUAGCA
rnacentral:rRNA from 1 species